AACGCUGGCGGCGUGCUUAACACAUGCAAGUCGAACGAACCUUCGGGUUAGUGGCGGACGGGUGAGUAACGCGUGGGAAUCUGCCCUCAGGAGGGGGAUAACGGUUGGAAACGGCCGCUAAUACCCCAUAUGCCGAGAGGUGAAAUGAAUUUCGCCUGAGGAUGAGCCCGCGUCUGAUUAGCUAGUUGGUGAGGUAAGAGCUCACCAAGGCAUCGAUCAGUAGCUGGUCUGAGAGGAUGAUCAGCCACACUGGGACUGAGACACGGCCCAGACUCCUACGGGAGGCAGCAGUGGGGAAUUUUCCGCAAUGGGCGAAAGCCUGACGGAGCAACGCCGCGUGAGGGAUGAAGGCCUCUGGGCUGUAAACCUCUUUUAUCAAGGAAGAAGAUCUGACGGUACUUGAUGAAUAAGCCACGGC
rnacentral:rRNA from 1 species